GGCACUCCAACAGCCCUGAUCCCAAGUGUGAAGCUGUGGCCUCAGCUGGACAUCCUGUCUGGUCUUGGUUAGCGGAAAGGCAACAGAAUGAAUGUCCACUCCAGAGAUAAUCAAAGAUGUGAUGGGGGUAUGCAACAUGAAAGAACAGAGCAUCAAUGUAUUGUUCCUGCCGGCGAGACACUUGAAACGUUAUUUAUGUAGUAAAACAAACACACAUCUAUUAUUAACUACAAUGUAUAAUUCACAUGAAUUUCUCAGAUAAAACAUAAGACUUCAAAGAAAGUCAUGCCUGAAAUUUGCAGCUACGAGCUUUACCUACAGUCUUCUAAAAGC
ensembl:lncRNA novel transcript